rnacentral:ncRNA from 1 species
GGGCACCCCUCUCUUUCAACAGGAUUCGCGGCAUGUCAAGCCCUGGUAAGGUUCUUCGCUUUACAUCGAAUUAAACCAAAUGCUCCACGACACACGUGCUACAAUGGGCGGGACAAAGGGUCACGAUCUCGUGAGGGUGAGCUAACUCCUAAAACCCGUCCUUAGUUCGGAUUGCAGGCUGCAACUCGCCUGCAUGAAGCAUGAAUCGCUAGUUAUCGCCGGUCAGCCAUACGGCGGUGAAUCCGUUCCUGGGCCUUGUACACACUGCUCGUCACACUAUAGGAGCUGGCCAUGUUUGAAGUCAUUACCCUUAACUGUAAGGAGGGGGAUGCCUAAGGCUAGGCUUGCGACUGGAGUGAAGUCGUAACAAGGUAGCCGUACUGGAAGGUGUGGAUG